CGCCCGGCAGCGGCACCGGGACCGCCGGAGCGCGCCCGGCACCGGGACCGCCCGGGUGGGUGCGGCUCCCCAGGGAAGAGGGCGGCGAUGCCCCUCGGGACGCCGCGGGCUGCAGCGGGUGCAGGGAGAUGCCGUAGGGACGCUGCGGCUGUGGAGCAGCCUCCGUGCCCCCCCGGGUGUCCGCAGGGACCCGGCGCUGCCGUGUCCCGGUGAGUCCCGUGCCGUCCCGCCGGGAGCAGCGAGCGCAGCGCCUGGGCCGGUCCGCUGCGGCCCCGCCGCGGGACGUGCAGCGCUCGGAGCUGUCCCAAAGGCGGGGGCACACGCCGCUGGUUGCGCUGCUCCGCUUGGCAGCUCCCCGUGUCCGAAGCUAUUGCUCUAGCCACAGCAGAACGGCCGCGCUGGUACAGCUUCCGAACGGGGACGCUGUUGGCAGGAGGUCUGGAAAACAAAAUAAGGCUCUUUGCAUCUCCAGAGCUGCUGCCCUGGCGUGCUGCUCCCUCGGCAUCCUCGCGGGAAAUUUAAGGACAGUGUCUUCGGUAGGACCCUCCAAACAAAAACAUUUUCCCGUGUGAAUAACACACAAGGGAUGGCCAUGGAUUUGUGACCCCAGCAAAAGGCACCAGCUUGGAUCUGGCCUGCAAUAGCGCGAGUCGUCUGCCAACUGGGAUGUACUGGAGCUGCUCCUCUGUGGUCUGAAACGGUGAAUCAUCCCUCAUUUUGGCAUCUCUCAGGGUUUUCCAAAAAACUGGAAAAGGUGCCUCAGUGACUAAGGACUUUCAAUUGCUCGAUGCCCUGGUGGGAAGGAGUGGGGGCUGGCUCAGCUCCUCUCCAGUCCUGGCUCAAUCUGCCCAGUCCUACCGUGUUCCACUCGCUGGACUCACAGCACCAAACUGCUCCUGGCUCCUCUGUUUCCUCUCAAAGCAGCUUACAUUUUUAUUCAGGAUAGUUAUUUUUUUCCUGAUUGUCCUUUAGGAGCAAGUUUAUGAUGAAUCAGAAGAAACCACUUUUAAAAUGCAUUACAUAUAGGUUGCACCAGUUUAAUUAGGGCAAGUUUAAAUGUCUCCUGAAAUUAAGCCAGUGCAUAUUUCUUCAAAAAAGAAGCAAGUGAAAAUACUGGAGGUCCAAAGGUGUGGUAGGAUGUAUGAGCAGGAGAUGGUGCAGUGUGUGAAAGUACAGCAGUGUUUGUGGAAAGCAGCAUUAAACGUACAGAAUAGAUCUAUACAUCAAAAAUUUGCUUAGAAAAUAAGCAUUGCUUUUGUGGAGUGAUACAGCUAAAUUAAAUUUAGAUUUUUAACAAAUGCUUCUACCUGAAAGUUUAAUUAAAACAUAGUAGAUAUUAAGAUCCAAUUUGCUAUUGUGCAAAUAUAAAGAAUAAUUAUUUGGGUUGGAAAAAAUAGAAAUCUACCCAAUAUUACUUUUUUUUGAGUCACAGAGUUUAUUGAUUUUAUCAGAGAACAUUCCAUGCUCACUUAGUCCUAAGUCCUCACUUAGUUGCUCCUGAACUUCAUUUGCAUACAACCAUCUCCACAAUUUUCGUAAGAGAAUGGAAAGCUAGACAUAUGAUUCUGCACCUAGUCCUGACUAUGAAACAAAUUUUAGUGCCCAUUUUUCUAAUACUGUGACAUUAAACUGGGUUUAAUUAAACUGGUUUCCCUAAAAACCACCCUGGAGGAAACUGAAUUGCUUUGUAACUUUAGAAAUAAAAGUUACCUUCCCACUGGAUGGAGAAAAUGGCAAGUAUUACAAUUUGAAUGUACAUUUGUGUACAGGUAAUCUGUAAAACAGUAAUUUGUAUUUCUCUCCACUCACUUAUUUUAAAUUGAGCCGUAAUACACAUAAAUAUGCAGGGUAAGGAAGUGUAAUGGAAUGUUUUAUUUAAUAAAACAUGAUGUAUACUGACUCACAUUGGACUUCCUUCAAGUCAAGAGGUGAGAACCUACCUAGGAAAGCUUAUAAACUUGUUGCUGAAACUGCCUUUGGGCUUGAGAUUUUUCAUAGGGAAAAACACUUCUAGUAAAGUACAGAAUCUCUGUGAAUUUUUGUAUUCAUUCUAUUAUAAAAAUGUUUCCAAAUAUUUUUCAUGCAUUUUAUCACAAAAAACAUUUCUGAAUACAUUUGUUGCAUUUUAAUUUUUUGAGUUAUAUAUGUACAGAAUAAAAAAAUAAAAGAAAAAUCUAAG